CCCUUAGAUGUCCGGGGCCGCACGCGCGCUACACUGAAGGAAUCAGCGUGGCUUUCUCCCUGACCCGAAAGGGUUGGGAAACCCGUUGAAUCUCCUUCGUGAUAGGGAUUGGGGCUUGAAAUUGUUCCCCAUGAACGAGGAAUUCCCAGUAAGCGCGACUCAUAAGCUCGCGUUGAUUACGUCCCUGCCCUUUGUACACACCGCCCGUCGCUACUACCGAUUGAACGGUUUAGUGAGGGCCUCGGAUUGGUCUCGGCCCGCUCUUUACCGGGCGGCGCCGUUGGUCGAGAAGACGCUCGAACUUGAUCGUUUAGAGGAAGUAAAAGUCGUAACA
rnacentral:rRNA from 1 species